rnacentral:pre_miRNA from 1 species
GGCUGUGAGUUGGCUUAAUCUCAGCUGGCAACUGUGAGAUGUUCAUAUAAUCCCUCACAGUGGUCUCUGGGAUUAUGCUAAACAGAGCA